CCUACGGGUGGCAGCAGUGAGGAAUAUUGGUCAAUGGACGAGAGUCUGAACCAGCCAAGUAGCGUGAAGGAUGACUGCCCUAUGGGUUGUAAACUUCCUUUAUAUGGGAAUAAAACGUUCCACGUGUGGGAUUUUGUAUGUACCAUAUGAAUAAGGAUCGGCUAACUCCGUGCCAGCAGCCGCGGUAAUACGGAGGAUCCGAGCGUUAUCCGGAUUUAUUGGGUUUAAAGGGAGCGUAGGUGGAUUAUUAAGUCAGUUGUGAAAGUUUGCGGCUCAACCGUAAAAUUGCAGUUGAAACUGGCAGUCUUGAGUACAGUAGAGGUGGGCGGAAUUCGUGGUGUAGCGGUGAAAUGCUUAGAUAUCACGAAGAACUCCGAUUGCGAAGGCAGUUCACUGGACUGCAACUGACACUGAGGCUCGAAAGUGUGGGUAUCAAACAGGAUUAGAUACCCUAGUAGUC
rnacentral:rRNA from 1 species